rnacentral:tRNA from 1 species
GGGCUCGUAGCUCAGUUGGUUAGAGCGCACGGCUGAUAACCGUGAGGUCCCGCGUUCGAAUCGCGGCGGGCCCACCA